GGCUGAUACUCUGGUUUCUUGUAUACUGCAGUCUUCAAUCUCCUUCCUUCUAUAUUUAUAUUUAUGUCUAAAAAGUGCACUGAUGUUCUGCUUUGUUGUAGCUUAUUGAGUUUCAAACUGUACGCAGGUAGGGUGAAAUUCUUUUCCCAGAUCCAUAGUUUUAGUUUCAUCCUCCCAAAAGAUGAUGUAUCAUCCAUGUAUCUGAUGUAUAGUCUUAGAGGUGGCUUGAAUUCCUUUAGGAUUAUGCACUCUACCUGCUUUAAAAGUAUUUCUGCCAGUGGGCCAGCCAUAGGAAUUUGAGUCAUCCCUAAGACUAUAAAUCAGAUACAGUGAGGUAUGCUACAACGAACGAUGCUAUAACGAACGAAUGCUACAACAAACA
rnacentral:lncRNA from 1 species